rnacentral:rRNA from 1 species
UGGGGAAUAUUGCACAAUGGGCGAAAGCCUGAUGCAGCGACGCCGCGUGAGUGAAGAAGUAUUUCGGUAUGUAAAGCUCUAUCAGCAGGGAAGAAAAUGACGGUACCUGACUAAGAAGCCCCGGCUAACUACGUGCCAGCAGCCGCGGUAAUACGUAGGGGCAAGCGUUAUCCGGAUUUACUGGGUGUAAAGGGAGCGUAGACGGCGAAGCGAGUCUGAAGUGAAAACCCAGGGCUCAACCCUGGGACUGCUUUGGAAACUGUUUUGCUAGAGUGUCGGAGAGGUAAGUGGAAUUCCUAGUGUAGCGGUGAAAUGCGUAGAUAUUAGGAGGAACACCAGUGGCGAAGGCGGCUUACUGGACGAUAACUGACGUUGAGGCUCGAAAGCGUGGGGAGCAAACAGGAUUAGAUACCCUGGUAGU